GAUGUUAAGACGGCUGCCAUAAACACCCAAGGACA
rnacentral:tRNA from 1 species